CCGCCCGCUCGCCCCGCCAAAAGAAAAAAAGGACUUCCGUCCGCUCCUCCUCAUCCAUGCCCGCACACCAGUCGUUCCCCACAGCACGGGCGGGCCGCCCAUCCUCCCGCCGCCUCCUGCCGUUCGCCGCUCGCAUCAUCCUCCUCUCAGCUUGGCCUCCCCCAUCCUCGCGUCGUUCGCUAGCCGCCCUCCCGCCGUAUGCCGUUCGCUAGAGAUGCGGGCGGACGGUUGGGCUGGCGAGCGGUGGUAGGUUCGUCACGCGACAGGUCGCCUGGGAUGCUAGCCGAUGGAUGCGGGUCAAGCCGACUCGGGCGGCGGCGCAUCUUCGGUAGAGGAGAGGGGAAAAGAAGGAGAGUCCUGGGGGCGGCUGAGGAGGUGCUCGCCGGCGAGCGGGCUCCGACGGCCGCCUGGCGCGCGGGGUUGGAUGGGGGCGUUUCCCGGCAGUCACGGCCGUCCUCGCGACACCAACUAGCCGAAAGCAUCGCCGCUCCCCGCCGCCCGCCGACGCGACGUCGCCUGCCCCUCCUACCCAUGCGACAAUGUUGCUCCUCGGCUCCUCCCCGCGCGACACCGCCUUCCCCAAGAGCGCCCACCCUGUCGUCCUCCUACUCCUCAGUGCCUCCUUCUCGCCUGCCCGCAACACCUUGCCUUGCAGCGGCGCCUGACACACGCACGACCCACACUAGAGCACGCCGCCCCUCGCUGCCCGGUUUUCUUCUUUUCCGUCGCACUGUGCGAAAUCUGCCCCAUGCUCGGUCUGGAUCUACAUAAGCGACUGAGAGAGAGAGAGCACAGCGAAGACGCACACUGUGGAUUGUGGAAGAGGAAGAGAACAUGCUGUUGGAUCCGAGCACCUGUCGGAGGAGCAUAGGCAUAAGGAGGCAUCCAUGAGACAAGUUUUUUUAAUUCGUAUUUCUAUGUCUGCAUGAUGACAUUAGUUAACUGGUAAUAGUUCGAUGUGGCGAUUGUUAACUUGUUCCAACUGUGAAAAAUGGUAGUUGUUGCCGGAUGAAUUUCUGGUCUCGCACCUCCUUAUUUUUGGUCUUGCACCAUGGACGGCCUGAACGGCGCUGAUGCGUGCUUCUCC